rnacentral:rRNA from 1 species
UACGUAGGUGGCUAGCGUUGUCCGGAUUGACUGGGCGUAAAGCGCACGCAGGCGGUUUGGCGCGUGGGGUGUGAAAUCUGGCCGCUUAACGGCCAGGCGCCAUCCCAUACGGCUAGACUGGAGUGAUGCAGAGGUCGGUGGAAUUGCCGGUGUAGUGGUGAAAUGCGUAGAGAUCGGCAGGAACACCCAGGGGGAAACCAGCCGACUGGGCAUCGACUGACGCUGAGGUGCGAGAGCGUGGGGAGCGAACCGG